UGGUGGGUAGUUUGACUGGGGCGGUCUCCUCCCAAAGCGUAACGGAGGAGCACGAAGGUGGGCUAAUCACGGUUGGACAUCGUGAGGUUAGUGCAAUGGCAUAAGCCCGCUUGACUGCGAGAAUGACAAUUCGAGCAGGUGCGAAAGCAGGUCAUAGUGAUCCGGUGGUUCUGAAUGGAAGGGCCAUCGCUCAACGGAUAAAAGGUACUCCGGGGAUAACAGGCUGAUACCGCCCAAGAGUUCAUAUCGACGGCGGUGUUUGGCACCUCGAUGUCGGCUCAUCACAUCCUGGGGCUGAAGUCGGUCCCAAGGGUAUGGCUGUUCGCCAUUUAAAGUGGUACGCGAGCUGGGUUUAGAACGUCGUGAGACAGUUCGGUCCCUAUCUGCCGUGGGCGUUGGAGAAUUGAAAGGGGCUGCUCCUAGUACGAGAGGACCGGAGUGGACGAACCUCUGGUGUUCGGGUUGUGUCGCCAGACGCAUUGCCCGGUAGCUAAGUUCGGGAUCGAUAACCGCUGAAAGCAUCUAAGCGGGAAGCGAGCCUUGAGAUGAGUUCU
rnacentral:rRNA from 1 species